rnacentral:rRNA from 1 species
UACGUAGGCAGCAAGCGUUGUUCGGAAUUACUGGGCGUAAAGAGUGUGUAGGCGGUGCUCUAAGUCUGUUGUGAAAUCUCCCGGCUUAACCGGGAGGGUGCGGCGGAAACUGGAGUGCUUGAGGGUGGGAGAGGUAAGCGGAAUUCCUGGUGUAGCGGUGAAAUGCGUAGAUAUCAGGAGGAACACCUGUGGUGUAGACAGCUUACUGGACCACUUCUGACGCUGAGACGCGAAAGCGUGGGUAGCAAACAGG